GUGGAAUGUGGAGUGGAGUGAAGAGUGGAGCGGAGUGAGGAGUGGUGGAGCGGAGUGAGGAGUGGAGCGGAGUGAGGAGUGGAAUGUGGAGCGGAAUGAGGAGUGGAAUGUGGAGCGGAGUGAGGAGUGGAAUGUGGAGCGGAGUGAGGAGUGGAAUGUGGAGCGGAGUGAGGAGUGGAAUGUGGAGCGGAGUGAGGAGUGGAGAGUGGAGCGGUGUGAGGAGUGGAAUGUGGAGCGGUGUGAGGAGUGGAAUGUGGAGCGGAGUGAGGAGUGGAGCGGAGUGAGGAGUGGAGCGGUGUGAGGAGU
ensembl:lncRNA